ensembl:lncRNA
GGAUAAAGAAAGAGAGCAAGAGAAAAAUAGAGACGGAGAAAAAUAGAGAUGGAGAAAAAUAGAGAUGGAGAAAGAUAGAGGCCCCCAGAGUGGAGGUGGCAGGUCAAGAAAAGGACACACAGAGACUGCGGGAAAGUAAUGACAAGAAGAAUACACCAAACGUACUUUCGGGAAAGGGAUGCAAUGAGAGGGCAACGUGUGCUGAUGAAUUUCACUCUUUGAAUUUGAGUAAACCUUCCUAAUCGGCACCACGCUUUUUGGAGUUAUUCACCAUCAAUUAGUUUAGCUGAACUGGAUAGUGGGCUUACUGCUCAGAUCCACCCAGACCAGUACAGUGAAAAAACAGCGUUACAUUAAGCUGUAAGAAAGGAACGGCUGGAAGAAAGACUAAAGGACCAUCAUACAGGCCCCGAGCAAGCCUACACGAUACCCUGCCCCGACGUCUUCACCUCAGUGAACACGCGCAUCUCCUCUCACCAUGGCAGAAGGGGGUUAUGAAUAUACCACAGUGCCCGAAGAAAGUUUUGAAGAAGAGGACCACAAGUCAAUACGGUCUCGUUCCUCAAAAAAAAUCAAGCAGUUCUUCAUCAACCCAGAGCCCGAGCAAAGGCAUAAGCAGGUCGCUCCAACUUUGCAUACGUUCAGAGGGAAAUAGAACUCAAAGUAGAGAAGGCCCGCCUCGAACUAGAAAAGGUCAGACUGGACGCCACCAUAGAGGCUCUACAAACAGAAAAGGAAAUGGACGCUGCAAUGAUAGAAGCAGAAAUACUGGAGUCAAGUUUGAUAGACUCAGACCAUCAGUCACACCGCAGUAGAGCUUCUAUAUCUCUCUCACCCCAGACACAACUCCAACGUACAGAACACUAUGUACAGGACCAAUCCAGCAUAUAAUAUGAUAUAAUUUCUAGAUAUAAUAGAUUAUAAGGCAUCCUGUGAUGCAACACUGGUUAUCCUCCCCGUAGACAUCCCAGGCAGAUGCAGCGGAUAAUAUAUGUGCCUCAGCGGCGCAUCACAUUUGGCCUAAUAAUCACAGCACUGAAAAUAGAAGCCAAAUAUGUGUGUCUGAGUAGACAAAAUACAUUCUAGUCGGGUUGUUACUGCCACUUGUUUUGACUGGCCGACUAUUCGGAAAACAUUGGAAUUCUUUGGAAAUUAAUUAAAAGUGUAUUCCCCACAUGAUCAGGAGCACGGCUGCUGUUACUCUCUGUAACACAAAGCAAAUGCUAACCGAGAGAACUCCCCUUCUGUUAGCACUAUGAUAGAUUUGAAAUUAAAAAAUAAUAAUUUAAUUGGCAAACACCAACUGACAGAAUUCUCUGCGAGUCCCCCGAGUGUGCCCUAUCAUGAUGCAUAGUGAGCAUGCUUUCUAUACAUACAUACCCUACCCUGUUGGGUCUCGCUCUCGCUCUAUUCACAAUGGAUGAUUAUGCUCUGUCGACUGUCUUCUUCAGAAUUAGCAUGUUUUCCUUGCCGGGGCACACAUGUGCAGCCACAGAAAGGCUGUAUGCUGAAUCACAGUAAAGCCUUAAUGAUGUGGAGCAGAGGUGCAAUUGUGUGUGUUUCCAUGGACAACCACUAAUGGCGACAACGAUAAAAAAUGGACGGUCUCUGCUCAGUAGAAGCUCUUAAAGUAGGCUUACUUAUCAUCGAAAACAGAAUUUCAGUGUGCAAAAAUGGGCUGCUCUUUGUGUGGAUUUUUUUUUUUCAUCUCUUUUACUGAAGAAGUUGUUGAUUAUGUUUGUUUGUGCACAUGGACAAGUCCAUAAUUAAUUUGCAGAUUAAAAGAUGUAAAAAAGCUGUUGGGCAUAGUCGUCAAGCUGAAUUUAUGAAUGUUUCAUUUCUUAUUUAUUAAUGAUGGGUUGACCUCCCUUCUUGAUGUUUUUGUAUCAGUUAACAUUCAGCAUGAAA